AGAAUCAACGCUGGCGGCGUGCCUAACACAUGCAAGUCGCACGAGAAAGGGGAGCAAUCCCUGAGUAAAGUGGCGCACGGGUGAGUAACACGUGAAUAAUCUACCUCCGAGUGGGAAUAACUGAGAGAAAUCUUAGCUAAUACCGCAUAACACUUACGAGUCAAAGCAGCAAUGCGCUUGGAGAGGAGUUCGCGGCCGAUUAGUUAGUUGGCGGGGUAAUGGCCCACCAAGACGAUGAUCGGUA
rnacentral:rRNA from 1 species